UACAGAGGUGGCAAGCGUUGUUCGGAAUUACUGGGCGUAAAGGGCGCGUAGGCGGCCUUCUAAGUCAGACGUGAAAUCCCCCGGCUUAACCUGGGAACUGCGUCUGAUACUGGGAGGCUUGAGUAUGGGAGAGGGAUGUAGAAUUCCAGGUGUAGCGGUGAAAUGCGUAGAUAUCUGGAGGAAUACCGGUGGCGAAGGCGGCAUCCUGGACCAUUACUGACGCUGAGGAGCGAAAGCCAGGGGAGCAAACGGG
rnacentral:rRNA from 1 species